GCUGUAUGCAUGAUUCUGAUUGUUCGUGCCGUGCACAAACCUCGACGGAGCCGUACAUGGUGUACAUCCAAGAUGUCUUAGCCUUGUGCUGCCAAGUUGACCGACCAAAUGCCCGAAACUGGCAAAGUCAGCCACAUUUCUUGAAGGCAU
rnacentral:lncRNA from 1 species